rnacentral:misc_RNA from 1 species
UUUCUGUAGGUGAACCUGCGGAAGGAUCAUUAAUGAGGGCGUGUGGGCUAAUAUCCCCGCGAACCCUAAUCCUUUGUUUACUGUCCCAUUGUGGUUUACUUGAGUGCGAUUUGGCUUAAAAGUUUAUAUAUAUAUAUAUAUAUAUAUAUAUAUAUAUUUUUAAUAUAUUUUUGGGUCUUACAAUGUGCUCAAAAGGCUGCCACAGUUUUAAAAAAAAAUUCUAGUAAAUACAUUGAUGUCUGAGCAAAUUAUUUAAACAAGCAAAACUUUCAACAACGGAUCUCUUGGUUCCGGCAUCGAUGAAGAACGCAGCGAAAUGCGAUAAGUAAUGUGGACCGCAGUACUCAGCGACUCAUCGAAUCUUUGAACGCACAUUGCGCCCCUUGGUAUCACCAAAGGGCACACCUGUUCGAGCGUCACCAUACAUCGUAUCAGGCUAAGGGCCCGGCUUGAAUUGGACUUUUUCUGCUUUAUGUAGAGGUCUUAAAGUUAGUGGCGGUUAAGUUAGGCAUUCCAGCGUAGUGAUUAUAUUAGCUGUUGAAAUGUCUUUUACAUAACAGUCAACAGGUCCAGGGUUUCUGCUGGCGGAGACCUGGUUGGAUUUUAUCAAUUAUUGACCUCGGAUCAGGUGAGGAUACCCGCUGAAUUUAA